rnacentral:misc_RNA from 1 species
UCUCUGUUUCCCUUCCCCGCUUUCACAUGUUACCCCUUAGCGUGGAAGAUUCCCACCAAAAGUACACAGCCAAGUUGCCCAUGGUUGAGUCUACUUGCACAACACAUCUUUUUUCCUCAUAUAAGGAGAGAUGCUUAUAAUUAUUCAUCUAAUUUAAUGACAUUUGCAAGAAAAGAAAAUAAAAAUUGAUUGCUUUUUCUUUUUUUCUUAUCCCUCUCUCUACCAAGGCAAAUUCAUUAUUUUUUUGGACUACAUUUAUAUCAAUAUAACCCAAAACAAAAAGAGGGAAAUAUAUAUAUAUUUUAAAAACCAAAAUUGAAACCAAAAUCACCAAGAUCUGUACACACCACUCCUGGCAAGGGUGUCCUUUGACAAUGCAACUUUCAGACAAACUAAUCUUCUCUACACCGUCUGUAAGUAAAUACUAAAAUUUUUAAAAGAGAAACCAUCCAGAAUAUCCAAACCCUCCAGUGCUUUGGCUUAGCUCCCUCUCCUCAACCACAAUUGUCAGACAAGACAUGCCAAGAUUUUGGAAGGUCUAAAGAAUGUGUGCUUUACCAUUGUGCAUAUAUUCAGAUUUACAAACAAUUCCCAUGCCUAUGCUCGAUGGCUCUGUUGACCAUCUGUCUUCGAAUCUGGAUUGUCUUUCCUGUCAGUAUCUGAAUUCUCCUUUAGAGACUUGGUCUCAGUGACCCCAGCCUGGCUCCUUCUGUGUCUUCGAUCCUCUCUCGGUAUAGGAUAUUCCUCUGAUUCAAGCAUGCGAACUACUUGACUCAUCUUUGGUCUUUUUUCAGAAUCUGGAUCAACGCAUCUUAAAGCAGUUAGAAGAGCUCGUUUAAGAGCACUUGUUGAAGGCCUUGUCUCAAUCAUUGGGUCUACAACCUCUUCUGAACGCCUUCUUGCAACCAUCAUCUUCAACCACUCCACCAGAUUUACCUCAUUCUCAGGACGACUGUAAUCCACUGGAUCUCUUCCAGUAAUUGCUUCCAAGAGCACAACUCCAAAGCUAUAAACGUCACUCUUCUCAGUUAACAGCUGAGUCAUGUAAUAUUCAGGAUCCAAAUAACCCUAAACAAAUAUAAAAAUUUUGUCAGUCCUGAUAUACUCUCAAAUGUUAUCUUUAAUUUUUAAAAUCAAUCCACCUCAUGCAUAUCUUGGCCCAUCCAACGCAACAAAACCUUGAAGAAUUUACCAACGAAUUGGUUAUACGUUUGUGUCAAGCAGAUGCUUUCUUUCCCGGAAAACAAAAUCUUAUUUCUUGAUUGGUGAACAAUUUCGCCAUAAAUUAUAACAGCAAGCAUUAUGGAGCACAUUUUUAUGCUUUAUUUACUUUUAAGUUCCCAUUGUUAAAAGAAACAAUUAUGGUACAUUUCAAGCAAUGGGAUAUGGAUGUACUGACCACUGUCCCUUUAACUUGAGUGGUAACAUGACCCUUUUCUGUGUCACCCAUAAGCUUGGAGAGGCCAAAAUCAGCAACUUUCGCA